CUUAUUGUAGCUAUAUAAACUAAAACUAUCCCAAAUAAAAUAUCUUUUAUUCCAGAGUAAAAUCUGGUUAGAAGGAGAAAAUUGCUUUCCUCAUAAGCACAGAUAAGUCCCAGAGCUUGUAGAUGCAGAAAAGAUGUAAGAAAAAUUUCCUCACAAGGAAGGGAAGAGGGUUGUAUUUUAAGGUCAUUUUGAUGAGGUUUUAAGGAAUUUUAGUGGAAAUCUCCAGAGGUGCCUUAAGCUUCUCUCUCAGAAACUCCCAGGAGCUCUACCCCAGUACAUCAUUAAAGUCUUCCUCUGACUCAAGGAGAACAUCAAAAAGUGGGAAGCACAUCCUGUGGGCCUCUGGGCACCACAGAAAACUGAGGAAUUAUGGAACAGGAGGAGGUUUCUGGCACCACAGCCAUAAAUGGUUCACACAGUUGAGAUUUUGAAGAAAAUCUUCAUCCUGCCCAGCACACGUGGAUCAGCAAUUCCACCUUUGCCUGCUCAUAAGGGGAACAUAGUGAAGAAAU
rnacentral:lncRNA from 1 species